CAUGAAGCCGGAAUCGCUAGUAAUCGCAGAUCAGCAUGCUGCGGUGAAUACGUUCCCGGGUCUUGUACACACCGCCCGUCACACCAUGGGAGUCGAUAACGCCCGAAGUCAGUGACCCAACCGAAAGGAGGGAGCUGCCGAAGGCGGGAUUGAUAACUGGGGUGAAGUCGUAACAAGGUAAC
rnacentral:rRNA from 1 species